rnacentral:rRNA from 1 species
CAUGCAUGUCUAAGUAUAAACGAUUUAAUCGUGAAACCGCGAAUGGCUCAUUAUAACAGCUAUAAUUUACUUGAUCUUGACACAAUCCUACUUGGAUAACUGUGGUAAUUCUAGAGCUAAUACAUGCAUUAAAGCUCUGACCUCACGGGAAGAGUGCAUUUAUUAGAACAAAACCAAGCGGCUUCGGCUGUUUCUGGUUGACUCAUAGUAACUGAGCUGAUCGCAUGGUCUUGCACCGGCGACGUGUCUUUCAAGUAUCUGCCGUAUCAACUUUCGAUGGUAGUGUAUCUGACUACCAUGGUGAUCACGCGUAACGGAGAAUAAGGGUUCGGCUCCGGAGAGUUCGCCUGAGAAAUCGCGAACACAUCUAAGGAAGGCAGCAGGCGCGAAAAUUACCCACUCUCAGCACGAGGAGGUAGUGACGAAAAAUAACGAGACCGUUCUCUUAUGAGGCCGGUCAUCGGAAUGGGUACAAUUUAAACCCUUUAACGAGUAUC